rnacentral:rRNA from 1 species
CGUACAAGGUCUCCGUAGGUGAACCUGCGGAGGGAUCAUUACACAAAAAAUAUGAAGGCUGUAUGCGGCUGUGUCUCUUUCGGGGGGCCAGCUUUUGCGGAGGCUGAAAUAUUUUUCACCCAUGUCUUUUGCGCACUUGUUGUUUCCUGGGCGGGUUUCGCCCGCCACCAGGACCACACCAUAAACCUUUUUUAUGCAGUUGCAAUCAGCGUCAGUAUAAUAAAUGUAAAUCAUUUACAACUUUCAACAACGGAUCUCUUGGUUCUGGCAUCGAUGAAGAACGCAGCGAAAUGCGAUACGUAGUGUGAAUUGCAGAAUUCAGUGAAUCAUCGAAUCUUUGAACGCACAUUGCGCCCUUUGGUAUUCCAAAGGGCAUGCCUGUUCGAGCGUCAUUUGUACCUUCAAGCUUUGCUUGGUGUUGGGCGUCUUUUUUUGUCUUGGGCCUUUUUGUGCCCUGAGACUCGCCUUAAAACGAUUGGCAGCCGGCCUACUGGUUUCGGAGCGCAGCACAUCUCGCGCUUUGCACUCAUAACGACGACGUCCAAAAGUACAUUUUUACACCCUUGACCUCGGGAUCAGGUAGGGAUACCCGCUGAACUUAAGC